rnacentral:rRNA from 1 species
AGUGGCGAGAAAUAACAAUACAGGGCAUUUUAUGCUCUGUAAUUGGAAUGAUGGGAAUGUAAAACCCUUCCAGAGUAACAAUUGGAGGGCAAGUCUGGUGCCAGCAGCCGCGGUAAUUCCAGCUCCAAUAGUGUAUAUUAGAGUUGUUGCAGUUAAAAAGCUCGUAGUUGGAUUUCUGCUGUGGUCAUCCGGUACCGCCCGUAUGGGUGCGCACCUGGUUUGGCUGCGGCUUUCUUCCUGUAGCCGUCCGCGCUUAAUUGCGUGCGUUGUGUUACGGAACUUUUACUUUGAGAAAAAUAGAGUGUUUCAAGCAGGCUUGUCGCCCUGAAUACUUCAGCAUGGAAUAAUAGGAUAGGACCUUGGUUCUAGUUUGUUGGUUUCUAGGACCAAGGUAAUGAUUAAUAGGGACAGUUG